rnacentral:misc_RNA from 1 species
AGGGAAUCCAGAUUGUUGGCUUGUGAGGCAGCGGUUCUGAAUUCUGAGGCUACGGCAGCACUGGAAAUCAAACCUGAGAAAAGUUCAAUUCUAACAGGGUAUGUCAAGGUAAAAACCUAUUAAAUUUGAUGUUGAAGUUGAUAUCUGGAUCUAUGUUAAAUUACCUUCUGUUGUGAUUCUGAAUCUUGACUUGUCUUGCUCAAGAGAACAAAUAUUUUCUUACAUGUUUUUUCAUUUUAUUUUCUGAACGAUAAAUAAGUGCGUGUGCUUGGUAUAGGAAGAUGGUGACUACUCAAGUAGCUUUGAGCUAAAAUUCCGGUUAAAAGUUUUUAUUUUUGAUGUGAAGCUUUGUUUUUGUGGAAGUGGGUUGGUGAUGAAUAUGUAAAACAAUCUUCUUGUUUGUAACUUUUUAUUUUCUGUUCGAGGUUCUUCUUCUUUUCCUCUUUUUGGAUAAAGUUAUGGCUUUAAAUUCAUGGAUCUCUCUUUCUCAGUCUGUUCGAGGCUUUGCUUGUUUAUGGAGUUUCCCAAUAUUUACAUUAGAAAUUUUCCUUUUGUAAAUUUUUGGUGGGAGAGAGAAUUUGUUAUUGAUGUCAGAUUGAAGUGUUUAAAUAUUUGAAUUUGAAUUCUCAAUGCUCAAAUGCCAAUUCAACUUACCUCCUUUCAAGUGGAUUGCAGCAACUUCUAUACUUGCAGUUCUGUGUUCCAAUUUUAUAUGAAUCAACAAGUUAGAGAUGAUUCUGGUUAUUUUGGACUAAAAAUCUGAUUCAAUAGUUUGGUGAUUUUAUUCUUGCGAAUACUUCUAUUUAUGUACAACCUACCAUAUAUUCACAAGUCUUAAUCAAACUCUCCAUUUGUUGAAGGCAGAAAGCUGAAAUUGAAGUUUAAGUAGCAUUAUCUUUCUUGGAAAUAUGGACAAUCUAUGAUGUUGAUUAGCUUUUGGUAUGAACAGGAUAUAAAUUUGCGAGUGGUUUUUGUGUUGCAUGUGGCAUUCUGGCAGGGAUUGGUUGUCCGACCUGCAGAAUCUUCCUAGUUGUGUUCUGAUAUGAUUGAUGUUUGUCAUCAUCUAUUAGAUACUUUCGUGGAGAACCAAAUUUGAUUUUCUUCGUUAUUGUUCUCUUCCCCUCCCCCCCAAAAAAAAUGUCCAAUAUCAUAGAUUGAACUACUCAAAUUAGGUGGUUUAUCAUCUUUCUCAAUGGAUUGAGGAAAAUAUUGAUAAUUUUUAGUAGCAAGAACUGAAGGGAUACUUAAUCACAAGUGGUGGGAAGAUGAGAACUCAGCUCGCAGUUCUCAGUUUUUUACCAUGAAAUACAAUUAUGGUAGUGAUGUGCAUUUAAAAACUUAGGAUGCACAAUCUAAAAUGUGGUUUCAUUCAGCUAGAACAUUAUUUUUCUCUAGAUUAUUUCUUCUGUGGCAUUGCAUAUUAAGAAAGUGGUAAUUGCUUAUGUAAUUCAGUUUACACUCUGCAGUCAUAGGAUAUUUCCCUCUACCUUUACAUUUCCUAGAAGUUUUCUACAUUUACAGUAGCAGUAACAUGCCCAAGGUUCUUAUUUUAGCACCAAUUAACUUUUUUUAUGAGAAAAAGCUAAUCACCUCUGUCAAAGGCCAUUAAUUUGUGGUGUGAGUCAAACAAAUCAAAAACAGUGAUUUUAGGAAGUUAUUGAUCUUGUUGCAUGUUUAGUUUGAGGAAAACGGCCUGACAAGGAGAUUUUCCUUCAAGCUUCAAGCUAAUAAGGUUUUGGUUCCCAAAUAAAUGAUCCAACUUCCUGAUGUGCCAACUCAAAUGUCUGUACCAGCUGCUUUGUGCAGCCCAUGGACACAAAGUUGUAUAAGUUUACCUGUUUGUAAUCUGCUGCAAUGAUCUUUACAACAUGAAUUGCCUUUUUUUCAUCACACUCAUCCUAAUGAUCAUGUUACUCUUCUCUACAUAUUACAUUAAUUCUGCAGUACAUCAUCUGUGCCAAGCUGGAUAUGUUGAUAAUAUAGCAAAAGCUGAUGGAUUCACAUGCUUCACUUGAAACAAGGUUUGUAGUUCAUGAUAACGAAACUGUCAUUUAGGUUUGAGAAAAUCUCCGCCCGAAAGCUUUACUGCUGUUACUGUGAGCUGCUGAGUAACCAUAAGUUGUGCCAAAUCAAAGAAUUAGCCAUUGUUCCAUGCAAUCAUCUCAAAAAAGUACCGUUAUGGAUGGGUCUCACAGUUGUUAUGAUCAAUCUAUACUAGAUCAGGGGUCCUAUUGCUGGCAUCUGAAUAAGAAUGUAGGCCAGUAUCCAUUUUCUGAUGAUGGCAACCAAGAGAUACAUCUUUCAGCUGAGACACUUGAACAGCACUGCACCCUUCUAUCUUCAUCUGGAACUGGUGGUUACUCUGUUCAGUCUACUACUAGUUUUUCCCCAAAUGAAAGUGCAAUUUCACAGCUAAAUUCUCAGUCAUGCCUAUUGGAUCUGCAUGAUUCCUCUGAGAAUACCAGCGGUUCAUCAGAUAUAGACUCUUAUGUUACCCACAAGCUGAGAGAACUGGAAACUGCAAUGCUGGGUCCUAUAGAUGAUCUUGACAUAUAUAAUAUAAUGACUCCAGCUGGAUGCGACCAAAUCACAUCCGUGGAAGAGAAGUUUAAGUUUUUGGUAGAGAUGAUGUCCAGGGGCGAUUUAAAAGAAGCACUUUGUGCUUGUGCUCAAGCAGUUGCAGAUAAUGAUAUGCUUACAUUUGAAUGGCUAACGACAGAGUUACGUCAGAUGGUAUCAGUUUCUGGUGAGCCAAUUCAACGUUUGGGAGCCUACAUGCUGGAAGGCCUUGUUGCAAGGUUGGAAUCUUCAGGAAGUAAUAUAUACAAAGCACUAAGAUGCAAGGAGCCCGCAAGUGCUGAGCUUUUCUCUUACAUGCAGAUACUCGCUGAAGUCUGCCCAUACCUCAAGUUUGGGUAUAUGUCAGCAAAUGGAGCAAUUGCUGAAGCAAUGAAAGAUGAAAGUAAAGUCCAUAUAAUUGAUUUUCAAAUUUUACAAGGCUACCAGUGGGUCACCUUAAUCCAGGCUCUUGCUGCUCAACCUGGAGGGCCUCCGCAGAUUCGACUUACAGGCAUUGAUGAUCCAACAUCAGCAUAUGCUCGUGGAGGAGGACUUGAUAUAGUGGGGCAAAGACUAUCGAGGCUUGCUGAAUCAUGUAAUGUACCCUUUGAGUUCCAUGCUGCUGGAGUUUCUGCUUCUGGAAUUCAACUGGAGAAUCUUGGAAUUCGAGAUGGUGAGGCUAUUGCAGUUAAUUUUGCAUUAGCACUUCAUCACUUGCCAGAUGAAAGUGUGGGCACCCAAAAUCAUCGGGACAGGCUGUUGAGGUUGACUAAGAGCUUAUCUCCCAAGGUUGUAACUCUUGUUGAGCAAGAAUCAAAUACUAAUACUGCCCCGUUCCUUCCCCGUUUCAUAGAGACAUUGAACUAUUAUUUGGCUAUCUUUGAAUCAAUUGAUGUUACUCUACCAAGGGAGCACAAGGACCGGGUCAAUGUUGAGCAGCACUGUCUUGCUGGGGAGGUUGUCAACGUUAUAGCAUGCGAGGGUGCUGAGAGAGUGGAGCGUCAUGAACUUCUGGGUAAGUGGCGAUCAAGGUUUACCAUGGCUGGGUUUACACCCUAUCCAUUAAGCACUUUUGUGAAUGCUACUAUCAAAACUUUGCUGGAGACCUACUCCAAGAAGUACACUCUUGAAGAACGAGAUGGAGCUGUAUAUCUUGGCUGGAUGAACCGACCUCUGAUUGCUUCUUGUGCAUGGAGGUGAUAACCAGAUGAUAUUUGAGGAAACAUUUGUAUGCUUCAGACUGCAAUUUGAGGCAAGAUCAUUUCAUUAUGCUGUUUGUAGGUAAAAUAGCAUAACAAUGUUGAGACAUUAAUGGAUUAUCUACCAAUGAUAGACUGGCUAAUUUGCAAUAUAAGUUUGUGUUAACUACUGGUUAUUUUAUGCGUGUGUGUGUGUUAUAGUUUGAUCUUUGUGUAGUGUAUUCACAUUACAAUUGUCGCCAAGUCAAUUUCAAACUACUUGUUAGGCUGAUUUUCUGAAGAAGUUAAUUGCAGAACUCAUUCCAUAUAAUGAAACAACGCAAACAGAACAAUAAUUUAGAGGUUUCUUUACUUGUUUUAAGUAUCUAUACCGAUGUUGAUAAGUUUUUCAUGAAUACUUGUAAACAUCAUCUUGAAGUGAGAGAUUAAGAGGCUUAUCUGAGGCCUCUUGGACUACUGAACCAUGUCCAGAUCUUCGAAAAAGGGCAAAAAAGAAGUGCUAUAUUUGUUUUUUUUGUUUUUUUGUUUUUUUUUUUUUUUUU